UUAUACGCUAAUUGAAAUUGAUUACUAAAUAAUAUGAAUAAUAAAAAGAAAGCAUUUUAGAUAUCUUAAAUAAGAUAAAGCUUGGCUCUGACUUAUGAAUAUAGUAAUAGCGAAGGAAUAACACAUGGUUUUUAUGGAAAAUGGUGAGAUUAGAAAUAUAAAUAAUUUUAAAUACAAAAUUGGGAUUUAUUUAUUAUCUAAAGAAUUAUAUCUUAAAUGAUUCUAAGAUUGUACCACUAUACACCAGUGUCAAAUAUUAAUUAUAGGAGUGAAAACUUGCUUUAGAUUAGCUAAAAGAUUUGGUUAAUUUGGUGCCAGCAUCCGCGGUUAGACCAAAAAAUCGAAUUAUAUAAUAUAGGUAAAAAGAUAGUUAGGCAAUUAUUAAAUACUAGUUAUAAGAUUUUUUAUUAAAAGGUAAAAUUUAAAUAUAAAAAAAUAUCUUGAUUAAAACUUUAUAUUAUAUGCUGAAGCUAUGAAAAUUUAGGGAUAAACUAGGAUUAGAUGCCCUAUUAUUCUAAAUUAUAAAUUAAUGGAGUUAAACAUUUACCAGAGUAUUACGAGUUAAUGACUUAAAACUCAAAGGGCUUGGCGGUACUUCAUACCUUUUAGGGGAACCUGUCUCAUAAUCGAUAAUCCACGUUAUACCUUACCUUCAUUUAGCAAUACAGUUUGUAUACCGUCGUCGUUCAGGCAACUUCCAAAAAUAUAAAAGUUGACAAGAAAGAUCUUAAUCUUAGACGUCAGAUCAAGGUGCAGCCAAUAAGAAGGAGAGGAUGGGUUACAAUUAAAAAUUAUAAUUACGGAACAGAGAAUUAAAUAUCUCUACUUGAAGGCGGACUUAAAAGUAAGAUUUUGUACAUAAAUUUUUUGAAUGUGGCUCUGAAGUGUGCACACAUCGCCCGUCGCUCUCGUUGAAAAAUGAGAUAAGUCGUAACAUAGUAGGGGUAAUGGAAAUUGUUCCUGGAUG
rnacentral:ncRNA from 1 species